UACAGAGGGUGCGAGCGUUGUCCGGAAUCACUGGGCGUAAAGGGCGCGUAGGUGGCGACCCAAGUCGAUGGUGAAAGCUCGCCGCUCAACGGCGAGUCGGCCACCGAUACUGGGUUGCUCGAGCACUGUAGAGGCUAAUGGAAUUCCGGGUGUAGCGGUGAAAUGCGCAGAUAUCAGGAGGAACACCGGUGGCGAAGGCGGGUCUCUGGGCCGAUAUUGACGCUGAGGAGCGAAAGCGUGGGGAGCGAACAGG
rnacentral:rRNA from 1 species